GCGUGCUUAACACAUGCAAGUCGAACGGAAAGGCCCUGCUUUUGUGGGGUGCUCGAGUGGCGAACGGGUGAGUAACACGUGAGUAACCUGCCCUUGACUUUGGGAUAACUUCAGGAAACUGGGGCUAAUACCGGAUAGGAGCUCCUGCUGCAUGGUGGGGGUUGGAAAGUUUCGGCGGUUGGGGAUGGACUCGCGGCUUAUCAGCUUGUUGGUGGGGUAGUGGCUUACCAAGGCUUUGACGGGUAGCCGGCCUGAGAGGGUGACCGGCCACAUUGGGACUGAGAUACGGCCCAGACUCCUACGGGAGGCAGCAGUGGGGAAUAUUGCACAAUGGGCGGAAGCCUGAUGCAGCAACGCCGCGUGCGGGAUGACGGCCUUCGGGUUGUAAACCGCUUUCGCCUGUGACGAAGCGUGAGUGACGGUAAUGGGUAAAGAAGCACCGGCUAACUACGUGCCAGCAGCCGCGGUGAUACGUAGGGUGCGAGCGUUGUCCGGAUUUAUUGGGCGUAAAGGGCUCGUAGGUGGUUGAUCGCGUCGGAAGUGUAAUCUUGGGGCUUAACCCUGAGCGUGCUUUCGAUACGGGUUGACUUGAGGGAGGUAGGGGAGAAUGGAAUUCCUGGUGGAGCGGUGGAAUGCGCAGAUAUCAGGAGGAACACCAGUGGCGAAGGCGGUUCUCUGGGCCUUUCCUGACGCUGAGGAGCGAAAGCGUGGGGAGCGAACAGGCUUAGAUACCCUGGUAGUCCACGCUGUAAACGGUGGGUACUAGGUGUGGGGUCCAUUCCACGGGUUCCGUGCCGUAGCUAACGCUUUAAGUACCCCGCCUGGGGAGUACGGCCGCAAGGCUAAAACUCAAAGGAAUUGACGGGGCCCCGCACAAGCGGCGGAGCAUGCGGAUUAAUUCGAUGCAACGCGUAGAACCUUACCUGGGUUUGACAUGGAUCGGGAGUGCUCAGAGAUGGGUGUGCCUCUUUUGGGGUCGGUUCACAGGUGGUGCAUGCCUGUCGUCAGCUCGUGUCGUGAGAUGUUGGGUUAAGUCCCGCAACGAGCGCAACCCUUGUUCACUGUUGCCAGCACGUUAUGGUGGGGACUCAGUGGAGACCGCCGGGGUCAACUCGGAGGAAGGUGGGGAUGACGUCAAGUCAUCAUGCCCCUUAUGUCCAGGGCUUCACGCAUGCUACAAUGGCUGGUACAGAGAGUGGCGAGCCUGUGAGGGUGAGCGAAUCUCGGAAAGCCGGUCUCAGUUCGGAUUGGGGUCUGCAACUCGACCUCAUGAAGUCGGAGUCGCUAGUAAUCGCAGAUCAGCAACGCUGCGGUGAAUACGUUCCCGGGGCUUGUACACACCGCCCGUCAAGUCAUGAAAGUUGGUAACACCCGAAGCCGGUGGCCUAACCGUUGUGGGGGAGCCGUCGAAGGUGGGACUGGUGAUUAGGACUAAGUC
rnacentral:rRNA from 1 species